rnacentral:lncRNA from 1 species
GAGCUUCACCUUUUUUAUUAUUUCACAUACAUGUCCUUUUUGGAUUACGACCAAAAGUUGUAUAGUUGAUAAUACAAUUUUGUAGUCCAAUUGCAUUGUAGAAUAGUAAUUUCUUAUUUUAUCUAGAGCCAAAUUUGAGUUGUAAAAGACGAAAAGCUUGCUAAUAUUUAUAAUAAUAAUCAUAUAAAUAUGACAAUUUGAAGUCGCCUUGCAAAAAUAGCAAUUGGCCCCACUACCUUAAGUGUAACAAAAAUGCUUUAAAACAAUUUUUUUUAAAAAUAAGAUACAACAAUAAUUUACAUUCCUUUGUCAUUAAAAAGGAACUAAGCGUAUUUCUUUUUUAUUUUAGUUACCAAAUAUGAACGAAAAUAGUGAUGUUUAACCAAUAGCAUCAAUAAGGUUUUUCCAACAUCAUGGUCACAUUUAAGUUAAAAAUAAUUACAGGAUUUACAUCAUAAGCACCCCAAAAACUCAAACCAUCAUAAAUAUUGAUGUAACAAAACUAAUACAAGAAUAAAAUCCAAAACAUAUGGUAAAAAUAGUUUUUCCUAAGGAAAUAGAACCAACUUGAUGGUCUAGAUAUUGGAAUACAUAACUUUUUAGACUCUGAACAAAUAAUGUUCCAUUUGUUGGGGCAAAAGACUAGCUAAGAUUUGUAUGAUUCACAAUAUAGGCAGCUCAUAAUAAUUUAGGCCUAUAUUUUCAUAACAAAAAGAAAACCAAUAGUUUAUCAAACACAUAAUAGUAACAUACUUUUUCUUAGAUGAGCAAUGCUACUUGCCCACCACAAAAGUUGUUAUUUUCUUAAUUAUUUGCACUCCUUUAAAGGUGCAUAUGGAUAUCUAAAAGUUUCAAUGGUGAAGUCUACAAAUUCUUAGGGAAAUUGAAGUUGAUCCAUUAUCACACUAGGUGGAGCAAGUGGCAUUUUCUGUUUUAGAUUAUCAAUACCUAUAUUGAUUUUCUAAUAGGGGAAAAGAAAUUAGAGUUGAAUGUACCUUUAAAAGGGUAGAUUUACCACAACCAUUAGGGACUAAGAAACAUCCAUAACUAUCUCGAAAAGAAUCCGAAUUGAACAAUCCUUGAGAAUUUGCACCAUUUGCCUUGCUUUAUAUUAACCAGAAGUUAAUUUUACAACCUUCGAUAGCAACAUUUUCAGUUGCAUUGUCUCUGCAACCAAAACAACAAAAACUGAAACUUCCAUAAGAAACAAAUAUAAAUUGUUUGAGAAAAUGCAUAACUGAAAAGAACUUUAUCGUAAUGGGAGCUAGGGGAAAGGGCGUAAAAUCUAAUUGAAGAAAUUGAGUGAAGGGGGUAGAUUAGGCAUAAACUUACGGACUGUGUAGCCUAGAUAGUAUAAUCCACCUAAGAUAUUUCGUAAUGUUAAAAAAUAUAAAAUAUAAUAAGAUGCAAAAGAGCAAAAUAACUAAAAUAAGAGAUAGAACUUGCAAGCUUUGUGUCUCAAAUUCACCAAACCUGUUAUAGCCAAAUUGGCGAGUCUUUCAAUGUUCUUCAUCGUCGUCAUUUAUUUCUAAUAUAAUAACGAUGAAAACUCAAACUUCUUAAGGGUAAAUUUAUGCAUAAGAAGUCAGGACCCACUUAAGCAGCCAUGCGUGCAAAGCAUAUGGUAGGCAGUAAUAAAGGUUAGUGAGGUGAUUGAUUUAAUCGAUUAAAUUUAUUUUUAAAAAAAUAAAAUUUAAAUUUUAUUAAUAAUUAUUUAUUAAAAUUUAUUUUUUUAUAUUAAAUUUAAAUUUUAUCAAAUUUUUUUAAAUAUAUAAUUUAUAAUCAUUUAUUUUAAAUAUUAAAUAUGAUAUAUUUUAUUUUAAUUUAAAAAAUUAAAUAAUUUAUCUAUUUCCAGAUUAUUUUACCCAAAAAAAAAAAAAAAAGGCAAGUAAAGGAGAUGUGUCUCACACCAGUCCAUUGUCACGCUCGUGCUCGUGAAAUUAUUAGUCACGGCAGAUGCUACCAUGUGUUUCAUUAAAACUUGGCUUUACUUAUUUUACCAUAACAAAACAAAAAUAGCCAGAGUAAGGCAGCAUCAAGCAUUGAUGAGUUUCUGUUUAGAUUUGUUAAAGCCUGGCUGCCUGCUCUCCCAAGGGCAUUCUUCAACCAUAUAUUAUUAAGAUAUAACGUUUUGGUUUUCCGUUCUUCAAAUUUAACAACCCAACCAAGUUCCAAAAUAAGAACAGAGAUCUACGAUAAAUUUAGAAAAUCACAUAUACUAAUUCAAUCUUAAGACAUGGACCAGCCUAAUAAAAUGUAAAAGGGAAUACCCCGUCAAAGUUGUUUUAAAUUCAGAUGAUAGUAACAACCAUGUGAGAAAGAGAAAUAAUAAUAGUUUCCAUUGUCAUUCAACAUCGCAUAGGCCAAGAGUUGAAAGCACAAGAAACACCGGACGCAUAUAUCAGUAUCAAACCAACAUAGAGAUAAUAUAACACAGCACAGAUAUAACUAAUAGUUCAUCAGGUAGGAUUUUCAAUUUGGAAUAGGAGAGGCUAGACCCCCAGAAAUUUUUGCAGAUGCAACUUUAAAACCAUAGAUUUUGAUGUUAUCCUUCUUCACAAUGCCAGCCUGUUCACAGAACAAAAGAGAAUGGUGAUUAAGAACUUGAACAACAUGCAUGAACUAAGCAAACAAAGAUAAUUGCUAUGUUGAAUCUUCUUGCCAGUUUUAAGAAUAUCUAAACUAAAGAGUAACGACAAUAACCUGAACAAGAAAAGUGGAGACAUUCUUCCUCUGAUCGCCUUGAAGUUGAAUAACCUACACAUAAACCAAGUAAAUAAUAAACAUAACAAUGGCAAACAAAGACGGAGGUAGCCAAGGUCAGUUUCUUAGGAGGUUAGACAAACACCUGCCCUAACUCAGGGCCCUGGACAACAGUGCCAUUGCAACAGAACUCCUUCAUGAGGGCCUUGAGAAUUUUGUUAUAGCUGAAUUGUGUCUUCAACCCCUGGACAGUGGUCAGGCGUUCCCAACCAUUUCGCUGAAUUCGAAUGUGCACAUACUCCUUGGCACCAGUACCAGGGUCUUCAGCAUUUGCAUCAGCACACGGACCUAGCAACGCAGCACAGCAUACAAGUUAAAUUUUCCAUAAUCACAACAAUUUAAUAUAAUGGCGUAGAAAUCAGCAUGCUACCCCUGAGACGAAGGACAAGGUGGAGGGUGGACUGCUUUUGUAUGUUGUAGUCAGCAAGAGUUUGGCCAUCCUCAAGCUGCUUUCCAGCAAAUAUAAGCCUCUGCUGGUCAGGUGGGAUCCUUUCCUUGUCUUGGAUCUUGGCCUUAACAUUAUCGAUUGUGUUGGAGCUUUCCAGCUCAAGGGUGAUAGUCUUUCCAGUAAGAUUUUUGACAAAGAUCUGCAUCUGCUGUCAACAAGAAACUUGAAAUUAAUUUAUAACUUCCAAAAAUCCAUAAAUAUGAGCAAAAUAAUAACUUUUUUUUUUCAAAAAGAAACCAAUUAAGAAUUACUCAAAGAUUUAAUUUGGCAUAGAUGAUACCCUAACCACAGAUCAAACAAUUAACAAAAACUAAAACAUUUGACCAUGCGUAUUUAUAAAAAAUAAAAAAAGAAAAACACAAUUUUCAUACUAACGCAUAAUACAUCAAACAAGUGGAAUCAAAUGAAUAUUAUUGAUUCAAACUAUCAACAAAUAAAGCAACAUCAACAAUAACCUACAAUUUAGGCCAAUCUCCCAAAUUUGAUAAAAAAUAAAUCAGAUCAUAAAAUCAACCAAUCAAAUAACAAACACAAACAAACUUAUAAUAAAAAGCAAGUCAUCUUAUUCAAUAAUAAUCAAAUCCUAAAGCUAGAUCAGCAAUAAACCAUGAAACCCUACAAUCAACAAUAUAAAAUUUACAAUCAAAUUAAACGACCAAAACAAAGAGAUUCGAAAAAGAUAAAAUCUUUACAAAGAAGAUGUGAAUAUUUUUAUCAAAAUCGAUCGAAUUGAUCAUAUCGAUGAAUCCAAAAACCUAAACAAAUCGAAAAGAAUCUGCCAAAAUUCAAGAACUGGAAAAGGAAAAGAAAUUACCUUUAGAGAGAAUUCGAACCGAGAACUUUGAUCGGUGAGAUUUGAUGGAUAAAAGAAUCGGAAAGCGUUGAUAUAUUUAGCCAAGAAACGAAGGCAAAAUGGAGCGAAUAGUAUGAAGCCGCGUGUUACGUGAUUAUUGGUUUUCUUUUGACGAUUAGAUGACGAAAGAUAGAUGCCGUACGUGUUUGAAACAACGAAGAAAUAAAGGAAUAUUUGUGAUGAUAAAAUAUUAUUACAUAUUUGGAACAAUAAAGUGGGAAUUUACCAGCUAAAAUAUAAAAAUUGCUUUUAAUUUAAUAAAAAAUAUUAUUACACAUUGGGAAUGACAUUUGAAAAUCCUGAGUUUCAAAUAAUUUAUGGUUGUAAUAUUUUUUUCAAUUUAAUAAAUAUAAAAUUAAAAAAUAAAUUAAAAUUUAAAAAAUAUAUUUUUUAUUAUGAGAACAUGCUUUUGCUUAACAUCAAUUAAUUAAUUAAUUAAUUAUGAUAAUUGGAAACGAUUUAGUCAAGUUUUUCAAAUAGAAUAAAGGUUGAUUAUUUUUAUGGGUCAAAAGACUUUGAUUUUAUUACCUUGUUAUUUUUUAAAUUACUAAUUAAUAAUUUAAUCAAACUGUUGUGUGUAAUUUAUUAAUAAAAUAUUAAAAUUUUAAUUUUAAGACUCAUAAUCUAAUUUUAUUUUAUUUUAUUUUAUCAAUCUCAAAUAUAAAAAAGAAGUACUCUUGUGGAUCUUACCCAUUUAAAAUAUUACUAUAUAAUAAAAUAAUGACAAGUUGAUGAAUAUUAAAAAGAUGAUGAUGAAUACAGAAAAACCAAGCUGUAAUUAUAUUUUUAAUAGUCAUCAACUUAUUGUUGUUAUCUAUUUAUAUUGGAGAUUUUAAACCAGUUUUUAAACAACCUUAUCUACUCAAUUUAUUAUUUUGUUAUUUGUCACCUUUGGUUUGUGUAAAAAAAAAAAAAUGGAUUUCUUUGUUGCCUUCCAAAUAAUGAAAUGAAAGAAGGGGAAGGUGCCUGGCAUGGCAAAGUGGAUGAAAGGAACGGAUUAUAGAAUAGAAUAUGAUUGACUCAGGCAAUAAAAUUUGGCAACUCAAUUGGAAUAUAGUUAGGAAGCAUUAGACUCAACCUGCUUAAGCCAUUAAACAAUUAGAACAAACCAUAGCUCAGGGUAAGGAAGGAUAGGGAACAAAUGCGCAACCUUCAUUUCAACAAAUGUAAAUCCAUAAAAGCAGAGUUGAAGUGAAGUUAGCUGUUCAGAUUCAAAGAAACACUCUUAACAUAAUCAUUAAUCUUCAACCAGCACACUUAUAGCAAAAUGAUCAAUUUUAUUUCAUCUUAUAGCACACGGCCUAUUGAUGAGGAUCUUGGAAGAUCGUGAUACCUGGAUGAUCUAAGACUAUUAAGAUUGUUUUGAUUAUUAGACCCCAUUUUCACCUCAAUUUUUUUAUUAAAUAAUAGCGUCAAAACCGUAAAUUUUAUGCAAAAAAUUCAAAGCAAAUUAAAGAAUCCAAAUUUAAAAGGAAAACACAGAUCUACAUGUCAAGUUAAAAAAAAAAAAAGGAAAUAGAUUUCUGAUCUCAGAUUGAAUUAAAGGAAAACCGUAAAAGUGAAAUAGGGAAAAUCCCUAACCCUAAUUCAUAAGAUCCUCGAACAAUUCAACAGAUAUAUAACAAAUCCAUAAUUAAACCUAACAGAACCGAAAUCAAACAAUGAAAAAGAAAAUAAAUUUAUUAUCUACGAUUGAGUUAAAAGACAAUCUUGGAAAGGGGAAAAAUCCCUUACCUUAAUUCAUAAGAUUCAUGAAACAAUUCACUAGAUAAUUAACAAAUUCAAAAUUAAAUCUAAUAGAACCCAAAUCAAAAACUGAAAAUAAGAAAAAUAAAUAAAUAGAGAGAAUUUAAUUACCUUGAAAAAGGGCUUCUAUCGAACGAUUAAUCUGCUGCAGAUUUUGAUUUUGGGAUGGGAACUGCUAGGCUCGAUCGCCCUUCAUUUAUAGGCCCAAUUGACACGUCAAAUGACGAAAUAGGGCUUGGGUGAAACCAAUGGGACUAUGCCACGUGUUAUAUUUAAUGUUCUCGGCCUGGCCUGCCUGGAUUCUGUUCGCGGAAGGCUAGAUAUUUUUAGCAGACGCGGUGCAUCCACUACUUCACGCUCCUUUAAAGCGAGUGUAUACACGCGCUGUUAUGAUUGGGUUACGUUAACAAUAUGGAGAUAUAAAUAUAAUUAACUUCUUUCAUCCCUUGUUUUUAUUGCUUAGCUUUUAUCUAAUUAAAUUUGAUUUUAUAUGAAUUUUGCAUCUACCACCAUACAAUAUUUCCCUUUUUUUUAUUGGCCAAAACAAAAUUUCCUUUUCAACGUCGUCAUAGAAUUAUACGUUGAGUCAUGAGUGCUACCAAAAAUUAAAAAUCUGCUGUCAAAUUAUGCAUGUUCUUUCAAAUUCAAAUUUCUUGUUUGGAUGUUGAGAAACUAAGAUGAGCCUUAGCUCAAGUAUAACUAAAUUUUAUAGAUUCAAGCUUUUUUUUCAUGAAAUUUAUUAUUUGACUGUUUUUCUCGUUGAAUUUAUUAUUUGACUCCCUUCCUUUUACACCUGAUUUCACCUCUGAUGAGGCUUAUUUCAAUCAUUUGCUACUGCUACUAGCUAUAUAGCUUUCUCUGAUAUGUGAAGUUUUGUUUUAUGGCUUCAAAUGGAAAUUUCUUUUUCUUACAACCUUAAAAAAAUUGUUGAGUAACAUGAAACAGUAGUUUUGUUUUGCCUUUGCUCAGCUUUUACAUUAUCAUCACAGUUUUUCUCUUUCCAUAAUUCUUCUAACUAUAUCACAAUUUCAUUGUUUUAUUAUUACUUUGAUUCAUUUGUGUGUGUUUUUCUUUUCUUAUAUUUUUAAUUCUUGCUUGCUUUGUUACUCACAAAAUUAGUAUUAAUUGUUCUUUCAAAUUCCCAAAUUUUCUUGCCAAGCAAACAGACCAUAAAAUUCAACCAGAAUGAGUACGAAGAGGAUAAAAUAGCAUUUAGAACAUCUUCUCAUCACUGAAUUAGUGUUACUUUCCAAUUAAUCAUUGACAGAGGUGGAGGCAAAGGGGUAGGUAGGGGUCACGGCCCCUCAAAAUUUUUUCUACACCAUUCUAGAUCAAUAAUUGAGUCUAUCAAAAUUAAUAGCGUCACCCAUAUCCUCAUUCAAUUCACUAUUUAACCCUCUUUUGAUUAUGAUUGCUUCGCCUCUAAUCAUUUGAUCUUUUGUUAACUUUCCUUGAAUCAUCACAUUGGACAUGUAUGAAAACAUUUCGUUGAGGGUCUAGUCAAGUUGAAUUGAGUCAGGUUCACGCAUUAUCACAAUCAAUUCAACUUGAUUUGAAAUCUUAAAAUUCCUAUGUUCUACUAAAUGAAAGAAUAUUAUUAUACAUAUAGAGAUAUUCCUAUGUUUCAUGAUGGACUUAUUGUUUGAAUGUAAUGAUUAAAAAUUAAAAUGCAUAACUAAUUUACUUGUAUUUGCCGUGCUAUUUAGAAGCUAGUCUUUCUUGAUAUCUUAAAUAACCAUCCCUUCUCACAUUAUAACUUUGAGUCUAUGACUAUUGGUGCAACGGAAUGAAAUUUGAGUUGUAAUAAAUAAAAGUAAUAUGAAUAUUUUUUACUUUACCUAAGUUUUUAGAUGUACACAUCAUAUUUGGAGGUGGUCAGCUCAACACAACCGAUUGGACUUAUUAAUUUCAAUGCUCUAAUAACAUUUUGAAAGUAAUAUUGAAACAUAUUAGUAAUGAAAGACAUAUGUGUUGAAUUUUUUGUAUCAACUUAGAUGAGACACAAUUAUUUUCAUGUAUGCAAUUGAAGAUAAAUACAAACACAAUUAUCUUCAUGAAAUGCAACAUUAUUAAAGUAAAUGAAUGCAAUGAAAAGAUAAUAUAAUUAUUAAUCGAGAAGAUGAAAAAACAUGAUGUUUAAAUGACAAAACAAUUAUCCACGUAUAGUAAAAGAAAACUCAACUUAAGCAUAAAAAAUGUACAUUGUAUUAAGUAAGUCAUGCAAAAUAACCUAAUAGCAUCCCAGAGCUUCACCUUUUUUAUUAUUUCACAUACAUGUCCUUUUUGGAUUACGACCAAAAGUUGUAUAGUUGAUAAUACAAUUUUGUAGUCCAAUUGCAUUGUAGAAUAGUAAUUUCUUAUUUUAUCUAGAGCCAAAUUUGAGUUGUAAAAGACGAAAAGCUUGCUAAUAUUUAUAAUAAUAAAAAACAAUUUAUUAGUGUUUGAAAGAUAAUUUUUAACUACAUCAUAUAAAUAUGACAAUUUGAAGUCGCCUUGCAAAAAUAGCAAUUGGCCCCACUACCUUAAGUUCAACAAAAAUGCUUUAAAACAUUUUUUUUAAAAUAAGAUACAACAAUAAUUUACAUUCCUUUGUCAUUAAAAAGGAACUAAGCGUAUUUCUUUUUUAUUUUAGUUACCAAAUAUGAACGAAAAUAGUGAUGUUUAACCAACAGCAUCGAUAAAGUUUCUCCAACAUCAUGGUCAAAUUUAAGUUAAAAAUAAUUACAGGAUUUACAUCAUAAGCACCCCAAAAACCCAAACCAUCAUAAAUAUUGAUGUAACAAAACUAAUACAAGAAUAAAAUCCAAAACAUAUGGUAAAAAUAGUUUUUCCUAAGGAAAUAGAACCAACUUGAUGGUCUAGAUAUUGGAAUACAUAACUUUUUAGACUUUGAACAAAUAAUGUUCCAUUUGUUGGGGGCAAAAGACCAGCUAAGAUUUGUAUGAUUCACAAUAUAAGCAGCUCAUAAUAAUUCAGGUUAUAUUUUCAUAACAAAAAGAAAAUCAAUAGUUUAUCAAACACAUAAUGGUAACAUACUUUUUCUUAGAUGAGCAAUGCUACUUGCCCACCACAAAAGUUAUUAUUUUCCUAAUUAUUUGCACUCCUUUAAAGGUGCAUAUGGAUAUCUAAAAAUUUCAAUGGUGAAGUCUACAAAUUCUUAGGGAAAUUGAAGUUGAUCCAUUAUCACACUAGGUGGAGCAAGUGGCAUUUUCUGUUUUAGAUUAUCAAUACCUAUAUUGAUUUUCUAAUAGGGGAAAAGAAAAUUAGAGGUUGAAUGUACCUUUAAAAGGG